rnacentral:tRNA from 1 species
GCAAAUAUAACUCAAUUUGGUAGAGUGUAAUCUUGCCAAGAUUAAAGUUAAGAGUUCGACUCUCUUUUUUUGCU